UCGGUUGAUCUGCGGAGUCCUGCUAUUGGGUCGACUAAGCAUGCGAGUCGAGAGGGUUCGGCCUCGCGGACUGCUCAGUAACACGUGNCCAUCUGCCUUUAGUGGAGGAUAAUCUCGGGAAACUGAGGAUAAUACUCCAUAGGUCUAGGAGGCUGGAAUGCACCUAGGCUUAAAACUCCGGUGCCUAAGGAUGAGUCUGCGGACUAUCAGGUAGUAGUCAGGGUAAUGACCUGACUAGCCUACGACGGAUACGGGUUGUGAGAGCAAUAACCCGGAGACGAUAUCUGAGACACGAUAUCGGGCCCUACGGGGCGCAGCAGGCGCGAAACCUUCACACUGUGCGAAAGCGCGAUGAGGGGAUCCCAAGUGCUUGCUCUUAGGAGUAAGCUGUUUCUCUGUUUAAAACGCAGGGAGAGGAAGGGCUGGGUAAGACGGGUGCCAGCCGCCGCGGUAAUACCUGCAGCUCAAGUGGUGACCGCUAUUAUUGGGCCUAAAACGUUCGUAGCCGGCUGAGUAAAUGCCUGGGUAAAUCGUGCCGCUUAACGGUACGAAUUCCGGGUAGACUGCUUAGCUUGAGACCGGGAGAAGA
rnacentral:rRNA from 1 species